rnacentral:rRNA from 1 species
GCGAGGCAGAGCAAAUCCCUAAAAGACCAUCCCAGUUCGGAUUGUAGGCUGCAACCCGCCUGCAUGAAGUUGGAAUCGCUAGUAAUCGCGAAUCAGAAUGUCGCAGUGAAUACGUUCCCGGGUCUUGUACACACCGCCCGUCACACCACGAGAGUUUACAACACCUGAAGUCAGUGGCCUAACCGCAAGGAGGGAGCUGCCUAAGGUGGGGUAGAUGAUUGGGGUGAAGUCGUAACAAGGUAGC